rnacentral:misc_RNA from 1 species
ACAGGUUGUAUUUAGUAAGUAGU